rnacentral:rRNA from 1 species
AUUGAACGCUGGCGGCAGGCUUAACACAUGCAAGUCGAGCGGGGGAAGGUAGCUUGCUACCGGACCUAGCGGCGGACGGGUGAGUAAUGCUUAGGAAUCUGCCUAUUAGUGGGGGACAACAUCUCGAAAGGGAUGCUAAUACCGCAUACGUCCUACGGGAGAAAGCAGGGGAUCUUCGGACCGUGCGCUAAUAGAUGAGCCUAAGGCGGAUUAGCUAGUUGGUGGGGUAAAGGCCUACCAAGGCGACGAUCUGUAGCGAGUCUGAGAGGAUGAUCCGCCACACUGGGACUGAGACACGGCCCAGACUCCUACGGGAGGCAGCAGUGGGGAAUAUUGGACAAUGGGGGGAACACUGAUCCAGCCAUGCCGCGUGUGUGAAGAAGGCCUUAUGGUUGUAAAGCACUUUAAGCGAGGAGGAGGCUACUCUAGUUAAUACCUAGGGAUAGUGGACGUUACUCGCAGAAUAAGCACCGGCUAACUCUGUGCCAGCAGCCGCCGUAA